UAUUGGCGAUAACAAUUUUAGUAUAUUCCAUACAAAAUACAACAUUCAAAUAUAUUUCUUUAUCUAAAUACAUAAAAAAAAUUAUAUAAAUUAUGGAAACAAGCAAGUGGCAGUUGACUAGAAUUAAACUCUAAAUUAUUCAUAAUUACAUUUUA